AUUGAACGCUGGCGGCAGGCCUAACACAUGCAAGUCGAACGGUAGCACAGAGGAGCUUGCUCCUUGGGUGACGAGUGGCGGACGGGUGAGUAAUGUCUGGGAAACUGCCCGAUGGAGGGGGAUAACUACUGGAAACGGUAGCUAAUACCGCAUAACGUCGCAAGACCAAAGAGGGGGACCUUCGGGCCUCUUGCCAUCGGAUGUGCCCAGAUGGGAUUAGCUAGUAGGUGGGGUAACGGCUCACCUAGGCGACGAUCCCUAGCUGGUCUGAGAGGAUGACCAGCCACACUGGAACUGAGACACGGUCCAGACUCCUACGGGAGGCAGCAGUGGGGAAUAUUGCACAAUGGGCGCAAGCCUGAUGCAGCCAUGCCGCGUGUAUGAAGAAGGCCUUCGGGUUGUAAAGUACUUUCAGCGAGGAGGAAGGCGUUGUGGUUAAUAACCGCAACGAUUGACGUUACUCGCAGAAGAAGCACCGGCUAACUCCGUGCCAGCAGCCGCGG
rnacentral:rRNA from 1 species